AUUUAGCAUGGAAUACAUGCAGUCCUAACGAGACCUGAAUGGUUUUAGAUCCCAUAGUCUGCCUCAAAUUCUCCUUCCUUAAAAUUAAUAAUUGGCAACAAUAUUGAAAAGUGUAGUUAUUGUGACCUAACUAUAGACAAAAUUGUAAUGGAGAAGAAAAAGAAGAAGAAAACCACACCCCUUCCUCUGCAACUGAUGCUUCAGCAGCCAGCUAGGAAGGAAACUCCUUGCCAGUUGAAUUCAAUUUCAGCUUCAUGAACUUCUGGGGAGAAAAGUCUUACCUUGCCGUAGUCUGUGGUUGUCAGCAAUUUCAACCAGCAGAAGCAAGCAGACAUAUUAAAAAGAAAACUGGUCCUGUGUAAUCUAAGGUUUUUCCAAUACUGCUAGCAAAAUCUCUGAAAGACUCUUGCAGGAAAACAGGAAGCUUAGUGCUGAUCUCAGAACAAAAUGUGACAACAACAGAUGUGGGUGGAUGCCUUUGAACAAUCAUUCUGCUGGGCUCUGUGAGACACCAGGGACUUUUCAAAAUGAUAAGACACCUUGCAGAGACAUCCUAAAGCUUGCAGUUAUAUAUACCAUCUUAGCCUGGCUGGGACAGAUACCAGUGAGAUGCAUCCAGGCAGGCUGAUCAGAUUUGGUAUAACUUUAUGAAUCCCAGCACUUUUGAAGUAGGAGUGUGGCUGUUGCAUGCAUGCUUCUCUUGCUUGCACAUGCAUAGCUUUAAUCGGGAUGUUGGUCACUCAUCAAACAGGUUAGUCAUGGAACAAGCAAGAUCCUACCAAUGACUUAGGUAUGGUAGCUGCCCAGUAGCUAAGGUCUUACUUCCAAUGCUUGGCCACAGUCCUCCAAAGCCACAGAGCAGGUGGAGGAGAAAUGCAGCUGAAGUUGUUUGGAAAGUGUUUGCUGCAGAUGAUUACUGGUGGAAUGGGUAAACCCUGGCACUUUCCCAUAUUGCCUGCUCAAGCAGGUGGUCAACAGAUGCAUGGAACCUUCAAAAGUGCUCCUGUUGGCUGGGCAAAACUUGGCCCUCCAGAUAUUGUUGAACUACAGCUCCCAUCAUCCCCACCCACAGUAGUGUGGUGAAUGAACCGCAGGUGCAGCUCAUUCCUACUCGGCUCACUUUCAAAGAUGUGCUUAACAUUAUGUCUAACUUUAGGAUAUAACUUUUAUGGAUAUAACAAAACUUACUAGCUAUGUAAUCGGUAUAACCAAAAUAAUGGAUAUACAUAGAUAUAUAAAAGGUACAACUUUUAUAAUUUUUUUUGUAAUGAACUUUUAUAACAAUGUUAUCUCCCUUUAGAAAUAUGUCUAGAUUAUGGAUAGUCAACUGGCUAUUUGAUUCUCUGACCCAUGUUCCCUAUACUAAAUUUAAACUAGGCUGUGGCACCAGUUUUGCUUUUGACAAGCAAGGAAAAUUAAACAUCUGAAAAUUCUGCACACAUGAAAAUCAUUUACAUAUAUUAUGUAUAUGCACUGGAAAUCCACACAUGGCCACAAGUUUCUUGUACAUAACCCCAUGAAUAUACAUAGGUAUUUCCACACAUGUAGGAUUGACUUGUUAUGAUCUGCCUGCAGGGUGUCCAUACAUUCUGACACAAAAGUCCUGCAUAGGAAUGUAAUCAUUUGUGAAGGUUUGCUUAGUUGUUCACACAGAUUGAAGUUUUCAGGUCUCCAUGUAUGCAGUUUGGCUUGUUUCUUACAAACUGUUCCAGUCCAGCACGACAUUGCAGAAAUAAACUUAACUUUCCUCUUUCCUAACCUCCUGGUUGAACACCACCACCUGCUGGAGCACAAGAGUUAUAGAAAUUUUCUCUUAUGGAUCAAGGAAUUUUGCUAAGAGGAGUAGCACAUUGACAUGGCUCUACACUCAGAAUAUCAAGGAUGUAUAACUGGUACUAUCUGCUAUGACACUCCAUAUUUUGAACUAUUAAAAUCAUAAUUACUCUAAUGCACACUUUUGAAAAGCAUUCAGAGUUCUGCCAUUUUUAUUUAUGGCAUAUCAUCAUACUGUCCUAAUGCCAGCUUCUAUAAGUAGACAGAGAGUGGUUGACAUCUAGAUUAACAUAAUGCCGGCACUACAGAGGAUGGUGAUUUUUUCUGAUCUCCCCUUUCUUCUGAAGGCCACUGUACCUCCUGAAACUGUGUUCUCACGACCAGCCCCUACCCAGAUCAGACACGGCUUGUUGGAAAUUCUCUGUGGUGAGAGAAUCCCUUUCUCAUUAUAGCAGAGUG